AUUGUUUCGUGGAAAUUCAUUUUCUUAUUGUGCAAAUUCAAGGUAUCGGAGUUAUUUAUAAUUUGUAUUCAAAAAGUAGCGUUUUACAACAAGUGCAGCCGUUGCAAGUAAGUUUUGCAUGUUAGGAUCCCUGUGUGUCCGUCCACGUAUGGCUGGUGCAGAUAAUACAAAUAUUAAUAAAUAUAUUCUCUUGUGAAGGUCAGGAUCACUUGGUUGUCCGUCCACGUUUGCUGAUGCAUGUAUUUUUACCACUGCAGCGUUUGGGUUGGUCAAGUGCAGCCUUUGCAUAUUUACAA